AGCAAUGUCUUCAUUGCUGGGCCAGAGCAGGGCACCCACAGGGCCUUUUCCCAGGGAAGGCCUUGCCCCUGGGAUCAAAAUGUAUGGGCCUGACAGCUUCAGGUCCUUUUUUCCCCACAUUUGGGACUCUGGAGCAGGGAAGGAGCAAGGGGAUGACACAGGUCUAGCCUAGACACCCCGGCCUGGAGGACAGUGAGACUGCUAGCCUCAGCAUGGAGGCCGCUUCCCAUAACCACAAUCCUGUGUCCUUUCCCCACCCCAGUUAUGGGGGAAUGCUGAGCGCCUACAUGAGGAUGAAGUACCCCCACCUGGUGGCUGGGGCACUGGCGGCCAGCGCUCCUGUUAUAGCUGUCGCAGGCCUUGGCAACCCCGACCAAUUCUUCCGAGAUGUCACAGCGGUGAGUGAUGGGGCUUGGGUACCCCAGGCCAGUGCAGGAAGGUGAGCAGCAGCAAUCUUGGCUUCUUUUCCAGGACUUCUUUUUUUUUUUUUCUUUUUUCUUUUUUUCGGAGCUGGGGACCGAACCCAGGGCCUUGCGCUUGCUAGGCAAGCGCUCUACCGCUAAGCUGAAUCCCCAACCCCUUUUCCAGGACUUCUAUGGCCAGAGUCCCAAGUGUGCCCAGGCUGUGCGGGAUGCUUUCCAGCAAAUCAAAGACUUGUUCCUCCAGGGAGCCUAUGACACCAUCAGCCAGAAUUUUGGGACCUGCCAAUCACUUUCCAGCCCAAAGGACCUGACUCAGCUCUUUGGGUUUGCCCG
rnacentral:lncRNA from 1 species